GGGAGCGGCAGACGGGUGAGUAACGCGUGGGGAUCUGCCCGAUGGUACGGAAUAAUUCCGGGAAACUGGGACUAAUACCGUAUGUGCCCGCAAGGGGAAAGAUUUAUCGCCAUUGGAUGAACCCGCGUCGGAUUAGCUAGUUGGUGUGGUAAAGGCGCACCAAGGCGACGAUCCGUAGCUGGUCUGAGAGGAUGAUCAGCCACACUGGGACUGAGACACGGCCCAGACUCCUACGGGAGGCAGCAGUGGGGAAUAUUGGACAAUGGGCGCAAGCCUGAUCCAGCCAUGCCGCGUGAGUGAUGAAGGCCUUAGGGUUGUAAAGCUCUUUCGCCGGUGAAGAUAAUGACGGUAACCGGAGAAGAAGCCCCGGCUAACUUCGUGCCAGCAGCCGCGGUAAUACGAAGGGGGCAAGCGUUGCUCGGAAUCACUGGGCGUAAAGCGCACGUAGGCGGGUCGUUAAGUCAGAGGUGAAAGCCUGGAGCUCAACUCCAGAACUGCCUUUGAUACUGGCGACCUAGAGUUCGAGAGAGGUUGGUGGAACUGCGAGUGUAGAGGUGAAAUUCGUAGAUA
rnacentral:rRNA from 1 species